UCGCCGCCGCCGACGUCGCGAGAAGUCCACUGAACCUUAUCAUUUAGAGGAAGGAGAAGUCGUAACAAGGUUUCCGUAGGUGAACCUGCGGAAGGAUCAUUGUCGAUGCCUACAAAGCAGAACGACCAGCGAACUGUUUCUCAACACCCGGGACACCGGAUGGCGUUAAGCUGCCUGGUAUCCCGACGCUUCGGAUGUUGAGGGGUGCGAUCCACCCCCAGCGGAUGGAGCAUCAAACACACCCCCGGCGUGCAAAGCGCCAAGGUACUCCAACGGUAGGCAAGCACCCGUAGGCCUGGACUCUACAGCGCUUGGGUGUCUGCUCGGUAUCAUAAAUCUAAACGACUNNNGUGUGAAUUGCAGAAUCCCGUGAACCAUCGAGUCUUUGAACGCAAGUUGCGCCCGAAGCUUUGGCUGAGGGCACGCCUGCCUGGGUGUCACACAUCGCUUUGCCUCCAGAACCUAUCCCCUCUGUAACACCGUGGUGAUGRUCUGGAUGCAGAAGAUGGCCUCCCGUGACCAUGAGCCACGGAUGGCCCAAAUUUGUGCUGGGGAAGCGAAGCGCCACGGCAUUCGGUGGUCGGCAUAGCCCCUGAGGCGUUGAAGGCCGUGGAAGCCGCGAGAGUCCCCAGCGUACAGCCCUAAUCGUUAACCAAUGCGACCUCAGGUCAGGCGGGGCUACCCGCUGAGUUUAAGCAUAUCAAUAAGCGGAGG
rnacentral:rRNA from 1 species